GCCUUCGUGGUGUAAUGGUCAGCACACUCGGCGCGUAAUCGAGAGGUUCUUUGUUCGAAUCCCGGCGAGAGCA
rnacentral:tRNA from 1 species